GUGGGCUACGGGGACAUGUACCCUACAACUCUGGGGGGCAAGCUGGUGGGCUCCAUGUGUGCCAUCGCUGGCGUGCUCACCAUCUCCCUGCCAGUCCCCGUCAUUGUGUCCAAC
rfam:Salmo salar isolate Sally breed double haploid chromosome ssa03, whole genome shotgun sequence.